rnacentral:rRNA from 1 species
CAGCAGCCGCGGGAAUACGGAGGGAGCUAGCGUUGUUCGGAAUUACUGGGCGUAAAGCGCGCGUAGGCGGUUACUCAAGUCAGAGGUGAAAGCCCGGGGCUCAACCCCGGAACUGCCUUUGAAACUAGGUGACUAGAAUCUUGGAGAGGUCAGUGGAAUUCCGAGUGUAGAGGUGAAAUUCGUAGAUAUUCGGAAGAACACCAGUGGCGAAGGCGACUGACUGGACAAGUAUUGACGCUGAGGUGCGAAAGCGUGGGGAGCAAACAGGAUUAGAGACCCGCGUAGUCCCUGUCUCUUAUAC